AGGUUGCACCGAGAUUUGAACUCGGAUCGCUGAAUUCAAAGCCCAGAGAGCAAAGCAUUACACCAUGGAACC
rnacentral:tRNA from 1 species